rnacentral:rRNA from 1 species
AAUUCGAUUGAGUUUGAUCAUGGCUCAGAACGAACGCUGGCGGCGCGCCUAAUACAUGCAAGUCGAGCGAGAAGACGUAGCAAUACGUUUGUAAAGCGGCGAACGGGUGAGGAGCACAUGGGUAACCUACCCUCGAGUGGGGAAUAACUAGCCGAAAGGUUAGCUAAUACCGCGUACGCUUCUUGGACUUCGGUUCAGGGAGGAAAGCGAUACCGUGGGUAUCGCGCUCUUGGAUGGGCUCAUGUCCUAUCAGCUUGUUGGUGAGGUAACGGCUCACCAAGGCUUCGACGGGUAGCUGGUCUGAGAGGACGAUCAGCCACACUGGCACUGCGACACGGGCCAGACUCCUACGGGAGGCAGCAGUAAGGAAUAUUGCGCAAUGGGCGAAAGCCUGACGCAGCGACGCCGCGUGGGGGAUGAAGGUCUUCGGAUUGUAAACCCCUUUCGGGAGGGAAGAUGGAACGAGCAAUCGUUCGGACGGUACCUCCAGAAGCAGCCACGGCUAACUUCGUGCCAGCAGCCGCGGUAAUACGAAGGUGGCAAGCGUUGUUCGGAUUUACUGGGCGUACAGGGAGCGUAGGCGGUUCGGUAAGCCCUCUGUGAAAUCUCCAGGCUUAACCUAGAACAGUCGGAGGGGACUGUCGGGCUAGAGGACGGGAGA